rnacentral:rRNA from 1 species
UGGGGAAUAUUGGACAAUGGGCGCAAGCCUGAUCCAGCCAUACCGCGUGGGUGAAGAAGGCCUUCGGGUUGUAAAGCCCUUUUGUUGGGAAAGAAAUCCAGCUGGCUAAUACCCGGUUGGGAUGACGGUACCCAAAGAAUAAGCACCGGCUAACUUCGUGCCAGCAGCCGCGGUAAUACGAAGGGUGCAAGCGUUACUUGGAAUUACUGGGCGUAAAGCGUGCGUAGGUGGUCGUUUAAGUCCGUUGUGAAAGCCCUGGGCUCAACCUGGGAACUGCAGUGGAUACUGGGCGACUAGAAUGUGGUAGAGGGUAGCGGAAUUCCUGGUGUAGCAGUGAAAUGCGUAGAGAUCAGGAGGAACAUCCAUGGCGAAGGCAGCUACCUGGACCAACAUUGACACUGAGGCACGAAAGCGUGGGGAGCAAACAGGAUUAGAUACCCUGGUAGUCCACGCCCUAAACGAUGCGAACUGGAUGUUGGGUGCAAUUUGGCACGCAGUAUCGAAGCUAACGCGUUAAGUUCGCCGCCUGGGGAGUACGGUCGCAAGACUG